CUAUGGAAACUAAAGGUGCACUCUUUCGUAAACUUUCCUUUGGGAAAGAAUGACUCUUGGGUCCAGUGAAAGAUAACAAAAUUGCUUCCUUUGGCCAAAAGCAAUACAGCCGAAAGCAAGAUGAUUAUUCAUUAUCAUGUUAAGUAAGGCUAGCCUUGUUUUUAAGCUCUUUUCAGUAUACACCAUGUUAAUGGAACUGGUUUUCUGGAACGUGUUUUUAAUAAAAUGCAAGAGGGACCAGGUGUACUAUAGAUCUACCGUUUAUUGGAACUUUGAGGUACCAGGUCAAACUCCUGCCAGCCUCCACCAUACAUUCAGCCCACACAGGAUUUUCCGCUGCCACUCUUUUUAUUUUUCGGAAAAAUGCAUCAUCAUUACAUCCAGACAAAAUAACAACUACUGGGGAGCAAAAUCUUUGAAAGGCAAAGACAAAGAAGUGAAAAAGGGCAAAGGCAAAGAAGUGAAAAAGGGCAUAAGAUUACACCAUAAAUAAGACGUUGCAAAGGGGCAUUUUGUGCACAGUAUCCUUGCUUUGUGAAAUGUUUCUCUCCUGCUUGAGAUUUGUAUCCAAGAUUAUGCGUAUUUAAAAUUUUAAAUGAAUACAAAACCAAACCUUUACAAUAUCAAUCAACAGCUACUGUGCAAGCUAAAUCAGUUAAACAUCUACCGCUGGCAUCAAAAAUUGUUUUUUAACAGAUGAAGCAGAACUUUUGGAAAGGUUUAUUGGGUGAUCAAUGUUGCAAUGAAUGAUCCAUUACCACUUAGCUUUUAAAUCAGGAUUUCAGGCUGAGAUGGAAUAGAAAAUAUCAUUCAGUAUUGUAAGCAGAUACCAAACCAUUGUCAUCAAUAACAUGUUUAAUUAUAAUAUUACUUAGGGACAUAUAACAGUGAUGGUUUCCAUGAAUGAGAUUGUUCAUUGUUGGCACGAUAAAAGUCUAAGUGUACAGCUAUCCAAAUGCCAUAGUUCUAAAAUACAUCUAAGAUUUUAUUUCUAAAGAUAAAUUCUUUUGGGAACAGAAAAUUUAAGUAUAGUCAUUCUAAAAGUAGAUUCUUAAAGACAAUUUGUU